rnacentral:rRNA from 1 species
ACGUAGGGAGCAAGCGUUAUCCGGAUUUACUGGGCGUAAAGGGCGCGCAGGCGGGCCGGCAAGUUGGAAGUGAAAUCUAUGGGCUUAACCCAUAAACUGCUUUCAAAACUGCUGGUCUUGAGUGAUGGAGAGGCAGGCGGAAUUCCGUGUGUAGCGGUGAAAUGCGUAGAUAUACGGAGGAACACCAGUGGCGAAGGCGGCCUGCUGGACAUUAACUGACGCUGAGGCGCGAAAGCGUGGGGAGCAAACAG